rnacentral:rRNA from 1 species
UGGGGAAUCUUGCACAAUGGAGGCAACUCUGAUGCAGCGACGCCGCGUGAGCGAUGAAGCCCUUCGGGGUGUAAAGCUCUUUCGUCAGGGAAGAUAGUGACGGUACCUGGAGAAGCAGCUGCGGCUAACUACGUGCCAGCAGCCGCGGUAAUACGUAGGCAGCAGGCGUUGUUCGGAGUUACUGGGCGUAAAGGGUGUGUAGGCGGCCUUCUAAGUUUGGUGUGAAAUCUCCCGGCUCAACCGGGAGGGUGCGCCGAAGACUGGGGGCUAGAGGAUGGGAUGGGAAAGUGGAAUUCCUGGUGUAGCGGUGAAAUGCGUAGAUAUCAGGAGGAACACCUGCGGUGUAGACGGCUUUCUGGACCAACCCUGACGCUGAGACACGAAAGCGUGGGUAGCAAACAGGAUUAGAUACCCUGGUAGUCCACGCCCUAAACGAUGCAUAUUUGGGUGUGGGUCAUUCAUUUGGUCUGUGCCGGAGCUAACGCGUUAAAU